rnacentral:tRNA from 1 species
AAAAAGUGAAAUCAAAUUGAUUUUUCACUUACAAUGAAAGCUUGUUUUAUU